GGACUUGUUCUUUGUUGUAGUAUGUCUUGAUUUUCUUUCAUGGUUCGUAAUAUCAACCAUGGAAGAUUAUUUAUAUGUCAUAUUUCUAUUUUGAGGGACUUAUAUAUCUUUGAUGGUUUGGAAUUUUACUACAACAAAAAUUUGAGAAUUUUUGUACUUAUACUUUCUAGAAUCAUGAAGGAUGCCCCAACAGAGGGGUUGAUGGGGAUGAUGCAGGUACAAGCAUUAACCUUGGGUCACGGAACCAGAUGCAUGUUGCUGGAGAAUUAAUCCUUCACAUGCUAACCAUCAUUUGACUCUCGUUUUUCGCUUACAGGCAUAUAACAAAAAUUAGCCUUUCCAUCCGUUGUCGAUCCCCAAUCCAUACUCUACUCCAAUGGAUCAUUCUUUGUCUCGCUAGCUCCAGCAACAUUGCCACUAUCGUUGUGAUUCUUCUAUGGGAUCCAUGUCAAGAGAUAUUAUUGGGACACAUUAACUAGCUCCUUGAGAUUCAACUCUUACAACAGUACCUUCUCACUACAAGAAACCUGUUAAUGUAUGACGAAUUCUUUGUGACGGAUUCAGAAAACAUUAUUAACGGUGCCCCAUCUAUGACGAUUUGUGAAUUUUCAUCACAGAUCUACAAAUAGCCCAUCCACGCUCAAAUUCGGACCCGAUUUCUAUGACGAACCUCGGUAACCGUCAUAGAUUGAAAAUGAAAUCGUC
rnacentral:lncRNA from 1 species